UUGGCCAGGGGCUGGACUGG
rnacentral:miRNA from 1 species